UCAUACCAUGUCAACGCCAAGGACGAUAGAGUCGAUCAAGACCAUCAAUGCAAUCUUACCUGUUAUGGGUAAAGGCAAUAACCUUCAGAAAAGCUUUUCGAUCCAAAAUUGGAAAAGGGUUUUGAAAUUUGAAUUUGGGUUGGCCUUUCCCGUCAUGAUUUGGUCGUUUUCCCCCAAAAAUCCAACCCUAAUUUUCCCAAUAUAUAUAUUCUAUUGCUCACUGUGAAAAGGGAGAUUCGAUUUUUCUUGAGAUUUUUGGAGACAAGGGGGAUUUGAUUUUUCUUGAGAUUCCAAGAAGAAUAGAGGAUAGAUUUUAGUUGAGAAGACAAGUGCAGAAGAAAUUUAAAAGGAUUUUAAUCAAGGUUAAGAAAAUAGUUUGAGCGGUCAGUCCCAAAAUACAUAGGCAACAUAUUCGAAGAAGGGUGAACCGGAUUUCUCUCGCUGUUCUGUUUGGGUUUAUGUGGUUGAGGUUCAUCUUCCUACUCGUGUAGUGCCUGUUCCACUGCCCAUAAAAAGAUGGAGCUAUUUCCUUCAAGUCACACUUUCCCUUUCCUUCCUUGAGAUGAAGAACUCACAAUUUCUUUUAUCCGAGCUGAAGAUCAAACUGAAGAUCGAGCAACAAAACUCAUCGAGCUGACCGAACUUUCUCUUUUCCGAGCUGAAGAUUUUGUCAAGAUUUCUCGUUGCAUGACUUGAUUUUAGACAGAUUUAGGAUUUACCUGAUUUGUCUACUAGAGGAAUUGAUAUUCAAGCAGUUAACGUUGUUAUCAAUUCUGAUUUUCCUAAGAACUCAGAAACGUAUUUGCACAGGGGAAAUAGAGGUGAUCAAAUUUGAAGUGGACGAUGAAGAGUUUUUGAACUAUUGUAAAAG